AAGUUAUUUCAAAGAGGCCUUGUAGGGCUAUGAAACUAAGAACUCUAAACUGUAUUCCCAAAGACUAAAGUUCUCCACAAUAACCUAUGCUCACUCAAUAUGGUUAUUUUCUUGCGAAGAUAUAGGA
rnacentral:snoRNA from 1 species